rnacentral:rRNA from 1 species
UACGUAGGGGGGCAAGCGUUGUCCGGAAUUAUUGGGCGUAAAGAGCUCGUAGGCGGUUUGUCGCGUCGGCCGUGAAAUCUCCACGCUUAACGUGGAGCGUGCGGUCGAUACGGGCAGACUUGAGUUCGGUAGGGGAGACUGGAAUUCCUGGUGUAGCGGUGAAAUGCGCAGAUAUCAGGAGGAACACCGGUGGCGAAGGCGGGUCUCUGGGCCGAUACUGACGCUGAGGAGCGAAAGCGUGGGGAGCGAACAGG